GACGAACGCUGGCGGCGUGCUUAACACAUGCAAGUCGAACGGUGAGGCGCGUUCCUUUUUUUUGGGUUGGUAGGAGUGGCGAAGGGAGUAGUAAGACGUUAGUAACCUUCUCCCUCUGUCUGGAUAACCGCAUGAAAGUGUUGCUAAUAGGGGAUAUUCUGAGUCUGUCGGUUGAUGGGUCUGGGAAAGAUUUUGUUUCGGUGAGGGAUGGGUUCGCGCUGUAUUAGCUUGUUGGUAGGGUGAUGGCGUACCAAGGCGGCGAUGCAUAGCCGCCCUGAGAGGGGGGUGGACGGCACCAGUGGGGAUGCGCGACCGACACGCCUACUGCAGGCGGCAGUAGUGGGGAUUAUUGAACAAUGGGAGGCAGGCUGAAGCAGCGCCGCGGCGUGAGUGAUGGAGGCCUUCGGGUUGUGAACCUCUUUCGCCAGUGAAGAAGGCCUGACUUGUUUGUGGGUAGGUUGACGGUACCUGAACAAGAAGCGCCGGCUAACUACGUG
rnacentral:rRNA from 1 species